UACAGAGGGUGCAAGCGUUGUUCGGAAUUAUUGGGCGUAAAGCGCGUGUAGGCGGCUUUGCAAGUCGGGUGUGAAAGCCCUCAGCUCAACUGAGGAAGUGCGCCCGAAACUGCAGAGCUUGAGUGCCGGAGAGGGUGGCGGAAUUCCCCAAGUAGAGGUGAAAUUCGUAGAUAUGGGGAGGAACACCGGGUGGCGAAGGCGGCCACCUGGA
rnacentral:rRNA from 1 species